rnacentral:lncRNA from 1 species
CAGUGUGUGCCACCAGCAGUAGCCUAGAUUUAAUAUGAAACUCCUAAGCAUGAAAAUGGAUGAGAACGGCCUGACCUAAGCCUACCAGUCUUAGACAGAACAGGGCCUUCUCCUUACUACCUUGGGUAUUUUUCGCAUUAAACAAUCCCUACAAUAUGAAACUGCAAUUUAGUUACCUUAAGAUGGACUUAUUGACAUAUUGCACAAAAGAAGUAUAUUGAAACUUACCAGGGUGCUCUGUAAGUCUGUAACUCAGACUCUGGGUCCUUGAUGACAUCCUGAUUAGUUUAAAACUUUGACCUUGCUCGUACCCAGCUAUUGGGACACCUGGCAGGAUAUUGAAAAUGUUAUGGUCGGGAUUACUUAUCAAAGAAGGAGGCGUCAGUAGGCGGCCAGCAGAGUCCUUUUUGCAUUGGAUAGCUAUUAGUUAAGUUUUGGUUGUGCAAUUAGUUGAGAUAUGCGUGUUUGAGUUAUUAUAGGACUCUAUCUCUAAUUGUAAUCCGGCCUAUUUAUAGAGGCCAUAGAGGAGGAAUAGAUAAGCUUAAACCAAUCUAUUAUCUCAUCUCCUAUUCUCUGUCUUCCUCAUCCUUGCUGCCAUCGUCGCCCAGGCGACCUUCCCCCCAGCCAAGAAGCCAACAACUCAGCAGCUGGCAACCUCCCAUAGCUACCCCAUACGCUCACUACCCCAGGGUCGUGACAACUUGGUAUCAGGAUUUGGGUCUGCAUCCAUGGGCACUCCGGCUGAUCUUGAUGAGGUGAAGAAGCUCCUGGCUGCCCAGGGCGACGCCAUCAAGCUCCUGCGCCAGGACUCCGAAGAUCGCAGCUCCAAGCUGGCAACAAGCGUUGACAAACUCGCCUCCUCCGUGCAGGUCCUCUUGGACCGUAUCGCUCAGUUGGAGACCCGGACGAUUGCGUCCGAUUCAGUGUCCCUAGAGUCCGGGGCUGCGACUCUCAAGCCUGCUGGCCCGACAGCUCCACCUGAGAGCGCGCGCCCCGCACUCGCUGGCAAGGGCAUCCUGCCACGCGACGGCUCCCUGCAGCAUGGCUCCGACCUCCUGCCCAAGCGGCACAUUGAUGAGCUCCCUUCUCCUCGGCUCUUCGGCUCUUCUUCGACCAAUACCAGUGCUCCAACAGAUGGCAUGGUGCUUCGAUACUUCAAGCUCGAUUUCCGGCGCUAUGAUGGGAAGGAUGAUCUGCUGCCUUGGCUCAAUCGCUGCGAGCAGUACUUCCGAGCUCAGUGGACAGAACCUCAACACAAGAUGUGGUUGGCCACCUUCCACCUCGACGGCGACGCGUACCAUUGGUAUGCCUAUCUGGAGCGCAGCCGCGGCGUGCCGCCAUGGGAGGAGUUCCGGGACCUCUGCAAUGUGCGCUUCGGGCCAUCAAUCCGCAGCAAUCCGCUGGGGGAACUUCGACACUUGCGCCAGACUGGAUCUGUUGCAGACUACCAGAGCAAGUUCCUCACGCUCCUCAGCCGUGCGAUCCGUUGACAGAUCGCCAGGAGCAACAGAUGUUCACGUCCGGGCUUAUCGACGACAUUCGCAUGGACGUGGAGCUGCACAGCCCUGUGAUCUAGAGCAUGCCUGCAGCCUCGCCCGGGCUUAUGAGAAGAAGGUCCGCUUCCACGCCUCCAGCCGCUUCGGCUUGGCGCGCUCGACACGGCCCCCUCCGUUCCCAGCUGCAAGCUCGAGUCCGUCUUCAGCGCCCGUGGGUUCGACACCUUUGGAGUCUCCCAUGCCACACCCAGUUCGUCGCCUGACGCCCGGAGAGAUGGUGGAGCGCCGUCGGCAAGGCCUCUGCUUCAACUGCGAUGAAAAAUUCGCCUGCGGCCACAAGUGCGCCCACCUGUUCUUCAUCGAGUACGACGACUCGGAGCUGGACGACUUCGUGGACGGGGGCGGUGAGGUGGCCGACGACGAGCCACACAUCUUGCUCUACGCGGUGGCAGGAGUGACGGCGGCGGACACUAUGCGCCUCCGCAUUCGCAUCCACGACCAGGAACUCCUGGCUCUCGUGAACUCCGGCUCUUCCCACAACUUCAUCCGGGACGAUGUGGCGCACCGGCUGGGCGUUGCAUUACAGCCGGUGCGGUCUGGCCUCAACGUCAUCGUCGCCAACGGCGACAGGCUACCCUGCACUAGCGUCUGCACCGCCCUGGACAUUCAGGUAGGGGCGGAGCCGUUCCAAGUGGAAUGCUUCUCCCUCGCUCUCGGCGGCUACGACGUCAUCCUUGGGACGCAAUGGUUGCGUACGUUGGGGCUCAUCCUCUGGGACUUUUCGACGCUCUCCCUGACAUGCUGCCUCAACAGUCGCCGCGUGACGUGGCUCGGCGAGCGGGGCCGCAAAGCGCCUUCAUGCCACCAGCUCCAGGCGGACUCCCUGCUGCAGCAUCUACUGGAGGAUUUUGCUAGUCUCUUCACCGAGCCCAUGGGACUCCCUCCAGCACGCUUCCACGACCAUCGCAUCCACCUGGAGCCUGCUACCCGACCCGUCGCCGUACGGCCAUACCGUUACCCCCAACUGCAGAAGGAUGAGGUUGAACGACAGUGUGCAGAGAUGCUCCGCCAAGGCAUCAUCCGCUUGAGCACGUCGACAUUCUCCUCGCCGGUCCUCCUCGUCAAGAAACAUGACGGCUCAUGGCGGUUCUGCGUCGACUACCACGCCCUCAACGCCAUCACCAUCAAGGCCAAGUUCCCCAUCCCGGUGGUAGAGGAGCUCCUAGAUGAACUCCACGGCGCGCGAUUCUUUACCAAGCUGGACCUCCGCUCCGGGUACCACCAGGUACGCAUGCACGCCAGUGACAUUGCAAAGACGGCGUUCCAGACGCAUCCAGGCCACUACGAGUUCCUGGUGAUGCCGUUUGGCUUGUGCAACACCCCAGCCACCUUCCAAGCCCUCAUGAACGACAUCCUCGGCAAGUAUCUCCGCCAAUUCGUGCUUGUUUUCUUUGAUGAUAUCCUAAUCUACAGCAAGACCUGGGCGGGCCAUCUGCGACACGUUUGUCUCAUCCUCGACACGCUUCGCCAGCACGGCCUUCGUCUCAAGCGGUCCAAGUGCGAGUUCGGGGUGCCCAAUGUAUCCUACCUGGGCCAUGUGGUGUCCGCGGACGGGGUGGCUAUGGACAGCCACCUUCCAAGCCCUCAUGAACGACAUCCUCGGCAAGUAUCUCCGCCAAUUCGUGCUUGUUUUCUUUGAUGAUAUCCUAAUCUACAGCAAGACCUGGGCGGGCCAUCUGCGACACAUUUGUCUCAUCCUCGACACGCUUCGCCAGCACGGCCUUCGUCUCAAGCGGUCCAAGUGCGAGUUCGGGGUGCCCAAUGUAUCCUACCUGGGCCAUGUGGUGUCCGCGGACGGGGUGGCUAUGGACAGCCAGAAGAUCAAAGCCGUGGUGAACUGGCCGCACCCGGGCUCGAUGCCGGCACUCCGUGGUUUCCUCGGGCUCGAUGCCGGCACUCCAUGGUUUCCUCGGGCUCGCCGGGUACUACCGACGCUUCAUCCAAGGAUACGGCAGCCUGGCUGCGCCGCACAUGGCUUACUCACGAAGGAUGGAUUUGUCUGGUCUGACGUGGCAAACAACUCAUUUCAGGCCCUCAAGCAUGCCCUGUCCACAGUGCCCGUCCUCCAGCUCCCUGAUUUUUCACGACCGUUCAUGGUGGAGUGUGACGCGUCAGGAUCCAGGAUGGGCGGUGUCCUGCAUCAGGGAGGCAGUCCUGUCGCUUUCUUCAGCCGGGCUAUGGCCCCUCGGCACGCAGGGCUGGCAGCCUACGAGCGGGAACUUAUCGCGCUAGCCUAGGCGAUCAAGCAUUGGAGGCCCUACCUCUGGGGCCGAUCCUUUAUCAUCAAGAUAGAUCACUACAGCUUGAAGUUCUUGCUUGAUCAGCGGUUGUCCACAAUUCCCCAGCACUGGUGGAUCAGCAAGCUCAUGGGCUUCGACUUCACCGUGGAAUACAAGCCGGGCAGCACUAAUGUCGUGGCGGACACGUUGUCGCGGCGCGAGGCUGCCGCUGCCGAGGCCAUGGCUCUGUCCUCGCCCACGUUCCACCUAUGGGAAGAGCUCCGUCGGCAGCUGGGCGGCAUGCCAGACUACCAGCACCUGCGCCAGGAAGUGGAGGCUGGGCGCAAGGGGUCGCAAUGGGCAAUAAAGGAUGGCCUCGUCCUGAAGAUGCGUCGCGUGUUCAUGCCGGAGUAGCGCCGCUCAUUCCUUAGCUCCUGUCUCAGGCCCAUGAUGUCGCACAUGAGGGGACCCAACGCACCCUCCAUCGCCUCCGGGCAGACUUCCACAUCCCAGGCGACAAGGCCCUGGUGCAAGGCUUUGUCCGUGACUACUCCACCUGCUAGCGAAACAAGCUAGUCACCUGCAUCCGUCGGGCCUCUUGCAGCCGCUCCCUGUCCCAUCGCUGAUUUGGAGUGACAUCUCCAUGGAUUUCGUGGAGGGCCUGCCGUGCGUCAACAACAAGAUAGUGAUCCUCGUGGUGGUGGACCGCCUGUCCAAAGCGACGCACUUCAUCCCACUCGGGCACCCCUACACCGCCACUUCAGUGGCCCGGGCCUUCUUCGACGAGGUGGAGCGGCUUCACGGUCUACCAGCAUCCAUCGUUAGUGACCGCGACCCGGUUUCCACCAGCACUGUGUGGCCUGAAUUAUUCCGCCUCUCCGGGCCAAAGCUCCAUAUGACAUCCGCUUUUCACCCCAGAGCGACGAACAAUCUGAGGCGGCCAACAAGGUGAUCGUGAUGUAUCUCCGGUGUCUCACCGGCGACCAGCCCAAGCAGUGGCUUCGUUGGUUACCGUGGGUAGAAUAUUGCUUCAACACGGCCUAUCAUUCCGCGUUGCACACCACGCCAUUCAAGCUGGUGUAUGGCCAGGAUCCUCCUUCAAUGGUUGCUUAUGACAAGAGGGACGCUCGUGCGCCAGCUGUCGAUCAGAUGUUGCUGGACAGAGAUGAGUUCCUUCAGGUAGCUCGGGAACGUCAUUUGCAGGCUCAAGAACAUGCCAAGCUCUACUACGACGCCAAGCACACUGCCAUGGCGUUUGGCGUGAGCGACUGGGUUUGGGUAAAACUUCUACACCGGCCAGUAGCAUCCCUGCCAGAACACACUAAAGGGAAGUUGGCUCCACGCUUCUAUGGGCCGUAUCAAGUGCUGGAACGCAUCGGCGAUGUCGCGUACAAGCUUCAGCUUCCGGCAGGGGCUCGUAUUCACAACGUCUUCCAUGUUGGUGUGCUCAAGCCGUUCCAUGGUCAGGCUCCAAGUGCUGCACCGCCGCUGCCUCCAAUGCUCAACGGCCGGGUGCUGCCCACACCGUCUGCUGUCAUCCGAAGUCGCCUUGCUCGUGGCCAGUGGCAGGUCUUAGGCUUGCCUGCCAGUGAGGCCACCUAGGAGGAUGUGGAGACAUUCAAGCACAGGUAUCCCGCCUUCAAGCUCGAGGACGAGCUCUUUCCGAAGGAGGGGAGAGAUAUUAUGGUCGGGAUUACUUACCAGAGGAGGCGGCGUCAGUAGGCGGCUAGCAAAGUCCUUUUUGCAUUGGAUAUCUAUUAGUUGAGUUUUGGUUGAGCAAUUAGUUGAGAUAUGGAUGUUUGAGUCAUUACAGGACUCUAUCUCUAAUUAUAAUCCGGCCUAUUUAUAGAGGCCGCAGAGGAGGAAUAGAUAAACUUAAACCAAUCUAUUAUCUCAUCUCCUAUUCUCUGUCUUCCUCAUCCCUGCUGCCAUCGUCGCCCAUGCAACCUUCCCCCGAGCAACACGGGCAAGAAGCCAGCAACUCAGCGGCCGGCAACCUCCCAUAGCUACCCCAUACGCUCACUACCCCAGGUCGUGACAGAAAAUGGUACAGGCUGAAAAUUAUGAAGUCUGAACUGCCUACCACUGAAAAUGUACUGUACAGUAAAACCUGCCAGGUCCUUUAUCUAAAAAAAAAAGGAUUAAGGAGCUGCAACCUGUUCUACUUCCUGCUAAAUUAAUAUAUACACAUUUCCAUUGGACAAUUCAAGCGGAGGAAUGGCUGUUUUUUAACUCCUCACGUAGAAGUGCUCAAUACUCCCUCCGUCAUAAAAAGAGUGUUCAUUUAACCUCCAAAACUUAUCCCACAAAAAGUGUUUAUAUAACUUUUGAACCAUCCAACAAAGGUCCUCAUAAUACUUUCUGGCCUAACGAAUCAAUCAUUUACUUCCACCAUCGAUGUACGAGCCAGACUCACUAAACAAGGAAGACUAAUGGGUCUAACAAUUACUGCAAGCGUGCAUGCAUAAUUAAUUCUACUCGGUAAUCCAUCUGAUUAACAAGAGCUAUUAUGAGUACUUUAGCAUUGCAACUAUCUUGUCUAAAAUUUUCUAAACAAUAAACUAUCUUGUCUAAAAUUUUCUAAACAAACAGUCUUUGUGGGACGAGAGAGUAGGUUGCUGCUGGAAAGCUUUCCACUUCACACAACUUUUACUCUCUUUUCACUUGCUUCUAAGAGAAGGGGAAAUUAAAGUUAUGUCUUUCUCAAAAAAUUAAGGCCUGGUUUGGUUCGUUUGCUUAUUUUUAAGCACCCGUCACAUCGAAUGUUUAGAUACUAAUUAGGAGUAUUAAACGUUGACUAUUUACAAAACCGAUUACAUAAGUGGAGGCUAAACGGCGAGACGAAUCUAUUAAGCCUAAUUAGUCCAUGAUUUGACAAUGUGUUGCUACAGUAAACAUUUGCUAAUGAUGGAUUAAAUUAGGCUUAAUAGGUUCGUCUCGCAGGUUAGGCCUCCAGCUCAUGUAAGGGGGUUUGUAAAUAGNNNNNNNNNNNNNNNNNNNNNNNNNNNNNNNNNNNNNNNNNNNNNNNNNNNNNNNNNNNNNNNNNNNNNNNNNNNNNNNNNNNNNNNNNNNNNNNNNNNNUAAGUGGAGGCUAAACGGCGAGACGAAUCUAUUAAGCCUAAUUAGUCCAUGAUUUGACAAUGUGUUGCUACAGUAAACAUUUGCUAAUGAUGGAUUAAUUAGGCUUAAUAGGUUCGUCUCGCUGUUUAGCCUCCACUUAUGUAAUGGGUUUUGUAAAUAGCCUACGUUUAAUACUCCUAAUUAGUAUCUAAAUAUUGAUAUGACACUUGCUUAAAAAUAAGCAAGGGAACCAAACGCCCCAUAAGUCACGUCUUAAGCCUCAUCACAAAGGCCAGGUGGUUCCCCCUAACAAGGAAGUGUCAAGAUCGUUGUGGGAACACCGGCCUAAAAUGCUCUCACGUGCCUUGACUAUCCGUCACAAACAGUUGCAAAUGAAUUUAAUUUGUUGCAUCUACUGCACCGCACGCAGAUUCAGGCUGGCAUCAUGGUUCAGUCACCCACCCUCAGAGCCGAUCCAGCCAUUGCUUACCCAGAAAUGGCUCGCUGGACAAGAACCCAGGCAAGUUUCCUGCACGCCUUCUUUCUUCUGCUACCCUGCGCAUCCACAUCCAGUGCGAUCGAGCAAGAAGCAGGCUCACUUCUCCGGUGGAAGUCCACCUUGUCGCCGGCCAAUGGCGGCGGUGAUUAUCCGUCAUCCCCUCUGCUCUCAUGGUCUCCUGGCAGGCCCACAUGUUCCUGGCAUGGCAUCCUUUGCGAUGCAGCUGGCUGUGUUACCGAGCUCAGCCUUCCCGGCGUUGGCAUCCAUGGCACGCUCACCGCGUUGAACUUCGCCGCAUUACCGGCUCUCACCAAGCUUGACCUCCGCAGGAACAACAUCAGUGGGCACAUCCCCAUCCCCGCAAACGUCACCGGCUUGGCAUACCUUGACCUGUCACAUAACAGCUUGUCCGGGGUGAUACCAGACACCCUGGCAAGGGCGACGCCAAGGAUGAAGCACCUCAACCUGUCAUCCAAUGGAUUGCAUGGGCCAAUACCACGGUCAAUCUCCGGUAUGCAAGAGAUGCGCGCAUUCGACGUGUCAAAAAACAAGCUCACUGGGAAAAUUCCCCCAGAGUUGUUCAUGGAAUGGCCAGAGAUCACAGAAUUUCACGUGCAGAGCAAUUUCCUGAUGGGUGGCAUCCCUCCAGAUAUCAGCAAUGCAACCAAGCUACAGUCCUUGCUUCUCUACCGCAACAGCUUAUCCGGCCAAAUCCCAGUGGAGAUCGGGAAACUGAAAAACUUGCAAUUUCUGAUCUUGGCAUGGAAUUCCCUGACCGGACCGAUUCCGCAUACGGUCGGGAACCUGUCAAGACUUGUGCUUUUGGGUCUAUUCGUUAACAACCUUUCAGGGAGAAUACCACCAGAAAUCUCCAAUUUGGCAGCACUGGAAGCCCUUGACCUUGAUACCAACCAGCUGGAGGGUGAGGUGCCGGAAGCCAUGUCCUCUCUCCAAAGUCUCCAAUACCUGGAUCUUAGUAGCAACAGGUUGUCUGGAAUGGUACCAUACCUCAGCAUCAGUAAAUUGCAUGCCAUAUCCUUGGAAAACAAUAGAUUCACAGGGGAAUUUCCUCUGGCAUUUUGUCAGCAAGCUUCUUUGGAAAUCCUGGACCUAUCAAACAACCAGCUGUAUGGAGAACUUCCUCCCUGCCUGUGGAGCUUGCAGAAGAUACAGUUCAUUGAUUUGUCGAGCAAUGCCUUCUCUGGGAAUAUCCAAACCUCAGCAAAAUCCAGUUUGUUUCUAGAAUCAGUACAUCUGGCGAAUAACAAUCUCAUGGGAGAAUUUGCACUUGUCCUCAAGAGAUGCAGAAGGCUAACUAUUCUGGAUCUUGGUGAGAACAAUUUUUCUGGCACAAUUCCUUCAUGGAUAGGAGCGAGCAAUCCCUUGCUAAGGGUGCUCCGGUUGCGAUCAAAUAUGCUCCAUGGGAAUAUUCCUUGGCAGCUGUCACAUCUUUCUUCCCUCCAGCUACUGGAUCUAGCAGACAACAGUUUCGUAGGUUCCAUACCAAGAAGUUUGGCCAAUCUAACAGCCAUGAUGCAGCCAAAAGCAGAGUUGAACAUACCCCUGGAAGUCAACUAUCAAGUUCUGGGUAAAUUUGCCAGGUAUGCAUACACAGAGCGAAUAAACAUAAACUGGAAGGGACAGUAUCAUACCUUUGAAGGAACCAUUGCACUUAUGACAGGCAUCGAUCUGUCGAGCAACUACCUUUCUGGUGAAAUCCCUCUGGAGCUAUCAAAUCUUCAAGGUCUCAGAUUCCUAAAUUUUUCAAGAAAUCAUCUCUCUAGCAGUAUUCCAAAAGACAUUGGUAAUUUGAAGAUUCUGGAGUCCCUCGACUUAUCUUGGAAUGAACUAUCUGGCUCCAUUCCUUCAAGCAUCUCAAAACUGAUGUCCCUUAAUUCGCUAAAUCUGUCCAACAACAAGCUUUCAGGUGAGAUACCAACCGGUUCUCAACUUCAAACACUUGCCGAACCAUCAAUUUACAGCAACAAUUUGGGGCUCUGUGGUUUCCCACUGAACAUAGCAUGUUCAGAUGGUUCAAAUUCUACACCAGCACCGAACAGCCAAAGCCAAGAGCUUGAAGCGCUAAGCUGGUAUUACUCUGUACUGGCUGGGCUGACAUUUGGAUUCUGGUUAUGGUCUGGACCACUGCUUCUCUUCGAGCCUUGGAGGGUUGCUAUCUUCCGCUGCAUCGAUCAUAUACAGGAUAGGGCUGUACAAAAGGUUUUCAUUGUCUAAUAUCUGUAUGACAUGGUAAAAAGUAGUUACGGCUUGUUUGUACCGGGUGAUUUCGUUGGAAAGUUUUGGAUCCAGUUCAAGUUGGAUAACAGACAAUAGUUUUCCAUUGUGUGUUUUUUUCUGCAUUGUUCUUAUUUUGUAACAAAUCUUACGGUUGCAAACAGAACUCUGAAUGUGUUUAUGUGAUAUUAGAUGUUGUGAAGUAAUCUGGGUAUGCCAAUGAAAUGUUUACUAGCUCAGGUGCUGGCACUAGCAGCCUAGAUUUUGUCAUCAAAAUGUUAGCAGGAAAGUGGACGUUGAGCUAGGCCUACCAGUUUUAAAAUAGGACCUAACAGCAUCCCAACUCAACAUAAAAGGUUUUAAUGAGCUGUAUCAUACUUUUUAUCGAAGCAGUAAAAGAUUAGCGUGGGUUCUUUUGGAGGAAAAAACAAAAGAACAGGGUUCCAACUCCUACGGGAUUAGGCGGUUAAUUCCACCUCCAAAUUUGGAAGAAAUUAGCAAACUAAACUGACGUUGAAUUCCUCCACUGAAACCCCAUCUUCAGCCCAAUCCAUCGGGGUUGCCGGUUGCAUGUCACCUUCCAAAACCAUUCGGGUGCAAGAAUUGGAGGAAGCGGAACAUCGCAUACAGAGAAAAUCACAUGCUCCUUCAUGCACUUUUGAGUACCUCUUUGAGUUGGGUGUUUUGGCCUGUUACACUUGUAAAUACCAUGUCACAUGUGCCAUAAAUAAACCUUCAGACGUCAAAAAUGUAGCCCUCAAGCAGUUUCCUGCAAUCUACGAUAUUAUUAUUCUGAGUUCUGAUAACCACCAGAUAGAUACAUGUAAGGUUCUGCUGUCGUCGGUAUCAAGGUCGAUCAGACCCAGCCAUCACUCCGAGAAGCCUCCCAAGCCAUGAGUCUCUCGACAAAAGCCCAGGUAAAUCCUUUGUACACCUCAUUUCUUCUGCCACUUUGCACAGCCAUAUCCAGAGUGAUCGAGCAAGAAGCUGCAUCACUUCUCCAAUGGAAGUCCACUAUGUUGCCGAACGAUUACGGCGACAAACCUCAUUUGGAAUGACAUUGGUAAUUUGAAAUUUUUGGAGUCUCUUGACUUAUCUUGGAAUGAUAUAUCUGGUUCCACUCCUUCAAGCAUUUUAAAAUUGAUGUCUCUUGGUUCAUAUGUCAGGUGAGAUACCAACGGGUUCCCAACUCCAAACGCUUGCCGAACCAUCAACUUUCAGCAACAACUUUGUGCUCUGUGGUUUCCUGCUGAACGUAGCAUGUUCAGACGGUUUAAAUUCUACACCAGCACUGAGUUGCCAGAGCCAAGAGCUACGUUAAGCUGGUAUUACUCUGUUUCGCAAAAUAAAAAAAAAAGCUGGUAAUACUCUGUAUUAGCUAUUUAGCUGGGCUGACAUCUGGAUUCUGGUUAUGGUCUCUUUGGAUUCGGAGUAUUCAAUUUAAAAGUUUUGGGUCUAAUCAAAUUUGAAUAACAAGAUGACUUUUUGAUUAUUGUACCAGCUUCCACAUGUGUCCUUUUUUCUCUACCAUUCUUCAUUUUUUAACGAAUCACACAGUAGGGAUGCAGAUGCUCACGUACACGUAACCACACUUGUCCUUAAUCUUGAGGAAAGGAUCGGUUGCCUUCACAAAACACAGGAAAAAAAUCAUCCACUCCGAGCUGUGGUUUCGCGGCAGAACGGAGCGAGAGGGAGAUAAACGAAGCAUCAACUGCUCGAAAAAAUCAAUUUAGAGUAAGAAACAAACAAAGCAACGAGGUAAAAAAAGGACUCAGUCUCGUGGGCGCCGGCCUGUCCCCGAUGUUGCUCGAGAUCGCCAGUCAUCGUCGGCCGCCGCGGCCGUCGCUGGACGAGGUUGUCGAGCUCCUCGCCUCCUCGCAUGCUACCGUGGUUGCCGCCGCAAACCAGGAGCACUAAUCUUGCCAUCCACCCCCACCAAAAGCCAUCCUCACUCCACAGGAUUGAGAUCGACGAAGGGGCAAAGCAGAUCUUGGAAAACUAUGUUGUCUUCUCUUUUUCGUCUUUUUUAUCCUUUUCUGGUUAGGAAUAUAACGAUGUCGUCGAUGUGCCUUUCGAGUUUGGACUCUGGACUUCUGGAGAAGAACGAGUUUAUUUUAUUUUUUUUUAUUUUUUGAGGGGGUUCUGGAGAAGAACGAGUGGAUCGGAGAGCUCAACGCUGGGCCAUCUGUAUAAAAAAAAUGCUGGGCCAUCUGUUUUGAAAA